AUACGGAGGGUGCGAGCGUUAAUCGGAAUUACAGGGCGUAAAGCGUACGUAGGCGGUUGGUUAAGUUAGAUGUGAAAGCCCCGGGCUUAACCUGGGAACUGCAUUUAAAACUGGCGAACUAGAGUUGAGUAGAGGGGAGUGGAAUUUCAGGUGUAGCGGUGAAAUGCGUAGAGAUCUGAAGGAACACCAGUGGCGAAGGCGACUCCCUGGACUCGAACUGACGCUGAGGUACGAAAGCGUGGGUAGCAAACGGGAUUAGAAACCCUAGUAGUCC
rnacentral:rRNA from 1 species